AACGAACGCUGGCGGCAUGCCUAACACAUGCAAGUCGAACGAGACCUUCGGGUCUAGUGGCGCACGGGUGCGUAACGCGUGGGAACCUGCCCUUAGGUUCGGAAUAACUCCCCGAAAGGGGUGCUAAUACCGGAUAAUGUCUUCGGACCAAAGAUUUAUCGCCUUUGGAUGGGCCCGCGUUGGAUUAGCUAGUUGGUAGGGUAAAAGCCUACCAAGGCGACGAUCCAUAGCUGGUCUGAGAGGAUGCUCAGCCACACUGGGACUGAGACACGGCCCAGACUCCUACGGGAGGCAGCAGUGGGGAAUAUUGGACAAUGGGCGAAAGCCUGAUCCAGCAAUGCCGCGUGAGUGAUGAAGGCCUUAGGGUUGUAAAGCUCUUUUACCCGGGAUGAUAAUGACAGUAUCGGGAGAAUAAGCUCCGGCUAACUCCGU
rnacentral:rRNA from 1 species